UACGGGGGGGGCAAGCGUUGUUCGGAAUUACUGGGCGUAAAGGGCUCGUAGGUGGCCAACUAAGUCAGACGUGAAAUCCCUCGGCUUAACCGGGGAACUGCGUCUGAUACUGGAUGGCUUGAGUUCGGGAGAGGGAUGCGGAAUUCCAGGUGUAGCGGUGAAAUGCGCAGAUAUCAGGAGGAACACCCGUAGCGAAGGCGGCACUCUGGGCCGAUACUGACACUGAGGAGCGAAAGCGUGGGGAGCGAACAGG
rnacentral:rRNA from 1 species